rnacentral:rRNA from 1 species
AGAGUUUGAUCAUGGCUCAGAUUGAACGCUGGCGGCAGGCCUAACACAUGCAAGUCGAGCGGUAGCACAGAGAGCUUGCUCUCAGGUGACGAGCGGCGGACGGGUGAGUAAUGUCUGGGAAACUGCCUGAUGGAGGGGGAUAACUACUGGAAACGGUAGCUAAUACCGCAUAACGUCGCAAGACCAAAGUGGGGGACCUUCGGGCCUCAUGCCAUCAGAUGUGCCCAGAUGGGAUUAGCUAGUAGGUGGGGUAAUGGCUCACCUAGGCGACGAUCCCUAGCUGGUCUGAGAGGAUGACCAGCCACACUGGAACUGAGACACGGUCCAGACUCCUACGGGAGGCAGCAGUGGGGAAUAUUGCACAAUGGGCGCAAGCCUGAUGCAGCCAUGCCGCGUGUAUGAAGAAGGCCUUCGGGUUGUAAAGUACUUUCAGCGAGGAGGAAGGCGUUAAGGUUAAUAACCUUGGCGAUUGACGUUACUCGCAGAAGAAGCACCGGCUAACUCCGUGCCAGCAGCCGCGGUAAUACGGAGGGUGCAAGCGUUAAUCGGAAUUACUGGGCGUAAAGCGCACGCAGGCGGUCUGUCAAGUCGGAUGUGAAAUCCCCGGGCUCAACCUGGGAACUGCAUUCGAAACUGGCAGGCUAGAGUCUUGUAGAGGGGGGUAGAAUUCCAGGUGUAGCGGUGAAAUGCGUAGAGAUCUGGAGGAAUACCGGUGGCGAAGGCGGCCCCCUGGACAAAGACUGACGCUCAGGUGCGAAAGCGUGGGGAGCAAACAGGAUUAGAUACCCUGGUAGUCCACGCCGUAAACGAUGUCGACUUGGAGGUUGUGCCCUUGAGGCGUGGCUUCCGGAGCUAACGCGUUAAGUCGACCGCCUGGGGAGUACGGCCGCAAGGUUAAAACUCAAAUGAAUUGACGGGGGCCCGCACAAGCGGUGGAGCAUGUGGUUUAAUUCGAUGCAACGCGAAGAACCUUACCUACUCUUGACAUCCAGAGAACUUAGCAGAGAUGCUUUGGUGCCUUCGGGAACUCUGAGACAGGUGCUGCAUGGCUGUCGUCAGCUCGUGUUGUGAAAUGUUGGGUUAAGUCCCGCAACGAGCGCAACCCUUAUCCUUUGUUGCCAGCGGUCCGGCCGGGAACUCAAAGGAGACUGCCAGUGAUAAACUGGAGGAAGGUGGGGAUGACGUCAAGUCAUCAUGGCCCUUACGAGUAGGGCUACACACGUGCUACAAUGGCAUAUACAAAGAGAAGCGACCUCGCGAGAGCAAGCGGACCUCAUAAAGUAUGUCGUAGUCCGGAUUGGAGUCUGCAACUCGACUCCAUGAAGUCGGAAUCGCUAGUAAUCGUAGAUCAGAAUGCUACGGUGAAUACGUUCCCGGGCCUUGUACACACCGCCCGUCACACCAUGGGAGUGGGUUGCAAAAGAAGUAGGUAGCUUAACCUUCGGGAGGGCGCUUACCACUUUGUGAUUCAUGACUGGGGUGAAGUCGUAACAAGGUAACCGUAGGGGAACCUGCGGUUGGAUCACCU